rnacentral:rRNA from 1 species
CGGACGGGUGAGUAACGCGUGGGUAACCUGCCUCAUACAGGGGGAUAACGGUUAGAAAUGACUGCUAAUACCGCAUAAGCACACAGUACCGCAUGGUACGGUGUGAAAAACUCCGGUGGUAUGAGAUGGACCCGCGUCUGAUUAGCUAGUUGGUGAGGUAACGGCCCACCAAGGCGACGAUCAGUAGCCGACCUGAGAGGGUGACCGGCCACAUUGGGACUGAGACACGGCCCAG